rnacentral:misc_RNA from 1 species
GAUGAAGGACGUAGCGAAAUGCGAUACGUAAUGUGAAUUGCAGAAUUCAGUGAAUCAUCGAAUCUUUGAACGCAUAUUGCGCUCUCUGGUAUUCCGGAGAGCAUGCUUGUUUGAGUAUCAGUAAACACCUCAACUCCCUUUUCUUUUUUGAAAUUGGAGCUGGACUUGAGUGAUCCCAACGCUUUCUUCCAAGAAAGUGGCGGGUUGCUUGAAAUGCAGGUGCAGCUGAACUUUUCUCUGAGCUAUAAGCAUAUCUAUUUAGUCUGCCUAAAAAACAGAUUAUUACCUUUGCUGCAGCUAACAUAAAGGAGACUAGUUCUUGUGCUGACUGAUGCAGGAUUCACAGAGACAGCUUCGGCUGACUUUGUAAACUCGAUCUCAAAUCAAGUAAGACUACCCGCUGAACUUAAGCAUAUCAAUAAGCGGAGGA